rnacentral:rRNA from 1 species
CUAUCGCCACACCACCCAGAACGCACCUGUUCUGGUCUGAUCUUGGAAGCUAAGCAGGGUCGGGCCUGGUUAGUACCUGGAUGGGAGAAUUACAUUUUCAAAGACAAGGCUGUGUUAAAGG